rnacentral:rRNA from 1 species
GACAGAGGAUGCAAGCGUAUCCGGAAUGAUUGGGCGUAAAGCGUCUGUAGGUGGCUUUUCAAGUCCGCCGUCAAAUCCCAGGGCUCAACCCUGGACAGGCGGUGGAAACUACCAAGCUGGAGUACGGUAGGGGCAGAGGGAAUUUCCGGUGGAGCGGUGAAAUGCGUAGAGAUGUGGAGGAACACCAGUGGCGAAGGCGGCUUUCUGGUCUGUAACUGACGCUGAGGCGCGAAAGCGU